CUGCGCAUGAAAAAGACAUUAGAGCUUAUUAAACUACAACAGCAGUAGCAAGCAUUUAAACCAUCAACAUAUUAAAACAGUGGUAUGGCAAGAUGCUACAGCACAGUUUUAUAUUGUUAAGAUAAAAUAUUUUUUAGCAAUGAACUUGCAGAGAGGGUAAGUAGCUAUUGCUAGGUCGCCCUGUCUAUUGAGAGCCUGUCGGGCCAACUGGGUGAAGCUGCAUCCAGAUCAAGUGAGUACUCGAGAGAUGCUCUCUCUCUGCUCCUGUACUUUCCACCUCGUUUGUAUCUACGAGUUUACAAUGGGUGAACCCUGGUGAAGGCUGAGUGUCAAUCUAAUUAAUGAAUUUUCUCUGAGGGCUAUGAAGCUUGGUUAUGUGGGGAGACUUCGAAACAGAGGCAAGUGGGGGGAAAGAGAGUCUUUAUUGACUCAUCUGAACAAGUGGUGAAUAUCAAACUAUAUUUAUAUUUCCAUUAGGCCGUGUGUCUCCUAAUCUAAGAUUGUCAUGUAAACUAAAAUGCUACUCAUUUCACUUGAGUACAAGCUACGUGACUGAUGUAGAAAAGACCUAAUUGCUAUUUUUAUUUAAUUUUUUUUAAAAUAAUUUUUCUUAAAUGCUACUCAUUGCACUAGAGUUCAAGCUACGUAAUUGAUGUAAAU